UCAUCAGCGGCAAUGAUAGGGGCGAAUUCUUCAGCAUAAUCAGCAAUAGCGGAACGGUUGGUGGCACGAAGGUACUCGGACAUACGAGGGUUAAAUGGGAAGAUAGAGGUAGUAGCGCCGAUUUCAGCACCCAUGUUACAGAUCGUACCCAUACCAGUGCAAGAAAGAGAUUCAACACCGGGACCAAAGUACUCAACAAUGGCACCGGUACCACCUUUGACGGUAAGAAUACCAGCAACCUUUAAGAUAACGUCCUUGGGAGAAGUCCAACCCUUUAAUUGACCAGUGAGCUUAACACCGAUGACUUUAGGACACUUCAACUCCCAAGGCAAAUUGGCCAUAACAUCGACAGCGUCAGCACCACCAACACCUAUAGCGACCAUUCCGAGACCACCGGCGUUGGGAGUGUGAGAAUCAGUACCAAUCAACAAACCACCGGGGAAGGCAUAGUUUUCAAGGACGAUUUGAUGAAUGAUACCCGAACCAGGGCGCCAAAAGCCUAUGUUGUAUUUGGCACAAGCGGUUUGUAAAAAGUCGUAAACCUCCUUAUUGGUAACGUUGGCACGUUCGAGAUCGAUAGGACCACCUUCGUAGGCUUCGAUCAAGUGGUCACAAUGGACAGUGACGGGGACAGCGACCUCCGGCAUACCCGCGGACAUAAAUUGAAGGAUAGCCAUUUGUGCAGUGGCAUCCUGACAAGCAACACGAUCAGGACGAAGCUUCAAGUAAGAGACACCACGUUCAAUAUCCUGAUUUACGGGAUCGUCCAAGUGACCGUAAAGGAUUUUUUCUGAAUAUGUGAGAGGACGGUUUAAGCGCUUCUUAACAAUCUCGAGAUUGUCUUUGAUGCGCU